rnacentral:rRNA from 1 species
CCUACGGGAGGCAGCAGUGGGGAAUUUUCCGCAAUGGGCGAAAGCCUGACGGAGCAAUACCGCGUGAGGGAGGAAGGCUCUUGGGUUGUAAACCUCUUUUUUCAGGGAAGAUAAUGACGGUACCUGAGGAAUAAGCAUCGGCUAACUCCGUGCCAGCAGCCGCGGUAAUACGGAGGAUGCAAGCGUUAUCCGGAAUGAUUGGGCGUAAAGCGUCCGCAGGUGGUUUUAAAAGUCUGUUGUUAAAGCGUGAGGCUUAACCUCAUAAGGGCAAUGGAAACUGUAAGACUAGAGUACGUUCGGGGCAAGGGGAAUUCCCAGUGUAGCGGUGAAAUGCGUAGAGAUUGGGAAGAACACCGGUGGCGAAAGCGCCUUGCUAGGCCGUAACUGACACUGAGGGACGAAAGCUAGGGGAGCGAAUGGGAUUAGAUACCCCAGUAGUCCUAGCCGUAAACGAUGGAUACUAGGCGUUGUCUGUAUCGACCCGGACAGUGCCGUAGCUAACGCGUUAAGUAUCCCGCCUGGGGAUACGCACGCAAGUGUGAAACUCAAAGGAAUUGACGGNNGAGAGNGCACGACGACACGAGGAGAG